rnacentral:rRNA from 1 species
GAUGAACGCUGGCGGCGUGCCUAAUACAUGCAAGUCGAGCGAACGGACGAGAAGCUUGCUUCUCUGAUGUUAGCGGCGGACGGGUGAGUAACACGUGGAUAACCUACCUAUAAGACUGGGAUAACUUCGGGAAACCGGAGCUAAUACCGGAUAAUAUUUUGAACCGCAUGGUUCAAAAGUGAAAGACGGUCUUGCUGUCACUUAUAGAUGGAUCCGCGCUGCAUUAGCUAGUUGGUAAGGUAACGGCUUACCAAGGCAACGAUGCAUAGCCGACCUGAGAGGAUGAGCGGCCACACGAUAACUUAGACACGGGAGACACAACGACGGGAGACGGCAGUAGGGAAGAUUGCGGAAUGUCCGCAAUCAUAACAGAGCUAUGUGAAGGGAAAGAUAAAGGUUUUAGAAUCGUAAAACGCUAUGAUUAUGGUAAAACAUAAGUGUAAGUAACUCGGCACGCCUUGAGGGGACCUAAUCAGAAAGCCACGGCUCGAUACGAC